CAAUGAAGUUGUAAAAAAAGAAAAUAACCUGAGAUUAUGUCCUAAUAAUCUCGGUGAUAGGCACCUCAAUUUUAGCACACCUGCAGGAAUCAUCCCUGUCAUUCAUAUUUUUUGGGGUUUCAAUAUUGAGUCGGUUGAAGUGUAUCAAACUUCUUUAUCUGAAUUGUUGAACUGGGUCUACAGCUUUAAAGAUUAUAAAACCUUUUCCCGUGCGUUCAAAUUACUCAGCCCUUUGUCAAGCGAUAUAGUUAAUGUUGAUAGAUUUAUGAAAAGUCAGAAAUCUUUUCAUGGAGAAGAGAGUCCGAAAAAAAUUUUACAAGACAUUUGAACCUGCACGUUGUUGCAAGACAGUGGUUGGGCGACUGAAUUACAAGGGAUAUCUAUGAAUCUAUUUUUCAUUGUGAUUCAAUAAUGAAUUUUCAACCUUAAAUUAAAGACAUUCUGAAGUCUUUCGGUAACUGAAGACCGUCAUUCUCACAACUUGCGUAAGCUUUAAAUAUUUAUGACAUCAAUGUUCUGUUUUUGCCGACUGCUUAGCAAUAUCAAAAUUAUAAAACAUUCAUUUGCGGAUUAGAACGCGCAAAUUACAAGAGGGGUGAUUUUUUUAUAAUUAAAUGUCAAAAAUCCGUCAAUAGUUGUGAAUUAAAUAAUCAAAAAAGUGACGUUCAACGUGUGUGAAUCAGAGACAACUGCAACAACUCCUAAAAGUACUAUAAUAGCAAUGCCUACAGACAGAGCGGACAUAGGGUCAUCCGAGCAUAUUUCGAUUCAACAUGAGUCAUCGCGUGCAAAAAAAAAAAAGAAAAAUUAAAUAAGAAAAGCAAUGUAUCUAUUCUUAUUGGAGUUUCAGAAAGUCUUAGAGUCCAGCUACUUUAGUAUUAUUAUUGUAUAAAGUAGAUUUCCGUAAUGCCGGAGCAGUUGAAGAAUGCGCAAGUUUUGAAAUGAGUGACGUGCAGGCUGACGCUAGACGUAAUGAAGCUCAUGAAACAGUGGACAGAAUACGAUUCGCUUGAAGAAAUGAAAAAAAAAAAGUGAUAUUAGUUUUUUUUUUUUAUUUUUCUAGUUAAACAAACGGUAUAUUAAAAGAGAAUUAAACCGAAUUUGAAGUAGACUGAAUCGUCAGACAAACAAAAGAAGAG